GAUCUAUAGCUCAAUGGUUAGAGUCCCUGCCUCAUAAGCUGGUUGUUGCAGGUUCAAGUCCUGCUGGAUCC
rnacentral:tRNA from 1 species